rnacentral:rRNA from 1 species
GAGAUGGGCGCCCCGUAAGGUCGGUAUACAGGUGGUGCAUGGCUGUCGUCAGCUCGUGUCGUGAGAUGUUGGGUUAAGUCCCGCAACGAGCGCAACCCUCGUCCAAUGUUGCCAGCGGGUUAUGCCGGGGACUCAUUGGAGACCGCCGGGGUCAACUCGGAGGAAGGUGGGGAUGACGUCAAGUCAUCAUGCCCCUUAUGUCCAGGGCUUCACGCAUGCUACAAUGGCCGGUACAAAGAGUUGCGAGCCUGUGAGGGUGAGCGAAUCUCAAAAAGCCGGUCUCAGUUCGGAUUGGGGUCUGUAACUCGACCCCAUGAAGUCGGAGUCGCUAGUAAUCGCAGAUCAGCAACGCUGCGGUGAAUACGUUCCCGGGGCUUGUACACACCGCCCGUCAAGUCAUGAAAGUCGGUAACACCCGAAGCCGGUGGCCUAACCCGUUUGGGGGGGAGCUGUCGAAGGUGGGACUGGUNNNUNNNACUAAGUCGUAACAAGGUAACC